rnacentral:rRNA from 1 species
AACGAACGCUGGCGGCAGGCUUAACACAUGCAAGUCGAACGCCCCGCAAGGGGAGUGGCAGACGGGUGAGUAACGCGUGGGGAUGUGCCUUGAGGUGGGGAAUAACUGUGGGAAACUACAGCUAAUACCGCAUACGCCCUUUUGGGGAAAGAUUUAUCGCCUUUAGAGCAACCCGCGUCAGAUUAGCUAGUUGGUAGGGUAAUGGCCUACCAAGGCGACGAUCUGUAGCUGGUCUGAGAGGAUGACCAGCCACACUGGGACUGAGACACGGCCCAGACUCCUACGGGAGGCAGCAGUGGGGAAUAUUGGACAAUGGGCGCAAGCCUGAUCCAGCCAUGCCGCGUGAGUGAUGACGGCCUUAGGGUUGUAAAGCUCUUUUAACAGGGACGAUAAUGACGGUACCUGUAGAAUAAGCCCCGGCAAACUUCGUGCCAGCAGCCGCCGCCGUAA